CGCAUUACAUACAGACUUCGGAAGCCUCCGCCGAAGAGAGAAGAGAAGAAGCUUGGAGGUAAUGGCUGUCGUAAAAAGCUAGUUAUUUUCGGAGAUUUCUGGAGACUUGGCAGUUAAGCUUAGGUUAAUAUCAGAGAUGUACACGACCUGGGGAAUCUGCAUGUGAUGCCAGUUGAGCCUCAGAAAGGCAGCACGACCACAAAAGUGCCAAGCAAGAAGGCUCUGCUGGACAAGCAGUUGGAGUGAGAAUAGAAACAACCGGGUCACAGGGCCGGAUCCUGCAUGAUCCACAUGACAUUGGUCUAAUCCAGUUAUCGCCCAUUGAAAACACUUUAGUCGAGCUACUUUGUGAAGUUUCAGAGGAUAAGAAGAGGCUACAGCAGGUGAGAGCCGUUUACUAACCCUGAUGCAAUAAAGUUAAGGGCUCUUCA